GGGCCUCUCCGGCAGCUCCGGAUAAUGAGCGCCGGGCCGAGGGGGCGGGCCAAGCCGCGGCUGGUGCGACCCGGAGCUCGGCUGUGGCCCGAGGGGCUCUGCGCUGCUGCUGAAGGGGCGGCUGCAGCAGCCAGCUCUGUACGUCCGAGUGGGGCUCGCUCGUUCGCCUCGCACGCCCCGUCGGUCCCCUGGGCCCUCUGGGGGUGACUCGGCCGGGCCGGGCCGGCGGCGUUGCCUGUCGGGAGGGCGGGGAUGAGGAGAGGAGCUGCUGCCGCCGCUCUCAGCCCGCCGCGGCCGUAGCGGUAGUCAAGGGCGGAGGCAAAGCCAGCUGUACCCUCGCCGGGCUGCGAACUCAGACAAAGGAGGAGCCGCCGUAGGAGCGGGCCAGCGCCUUGAGAAAGGAGGUCGCUGCCUGGGGUGGCCGGAGUUCGCGGCCACCGCGCUUCCUUAGCGGGCGCUGCGCGAGGCAAGGGCCGGCCGGGCCAAGGAAGCCGCCCCCGG
rnacentral:lncRNA from 1 species